ACAAAGGGGGAGUGCCGUUAGUACGGCGAGUGAAGCGGCAAAAGCUCAAAUUUGAAAUCGGCCACCAGGUCGAGUUGUAAUUUGUAGAUUGUAUCUUGAGAGCGGAUUAAAGUCUGUUGGAACACAGCGCCUUAGAGGGUGACAGCCCCGUAAAAUCUAUUCUCAUUGUAAGAUACUUUCGAAGAGUCGAGUUGUUUGGGAAUGCAGCUCUAAGUGGGAGGUAAAUUCCUUCUAAAGCUAAAUAUUGACGAGAGACCGAUAGCGAACAAGUACUGUGAAGGAAAGAUGAAAAGCACUUUGAAAAGAGAGUGAAAAAGUACGUGAAAUUGUUAAAAGGGAAGGGUAUUGAAUCAGACUUGGUGCUGUUGUUCAACUGUGUUUCGGCAUAGUGUACUCAGCAGUACUAGGCCAAGGUGGGGUGUUUGGGAGUGAAAAAGAAGUUGGAAGGUAACUCUUCGGAGUGUUAUAGCCUACUUUCAUAGCUCCUCAGGCGCCUCAGGACUGCGCUUCGGCAAGGACCUUGGCAUAAUGAUUCUAUACCGCCCGUCUUGAAACACGGACCCAAA
rnacentral:rRNA from 1 species